UACGUAGGGUGCAAGCGUUUGUCCGGAUUUAUUGGGCGUAAAGAGCUCGUAGGCGGUUUGGCAAGUCGGGUGUGAAACCUCCAGGCUCAACCUGGAGUCGCCAUCCGAUACUGCUAUGACUUGAGUCUGGUAGGGGAUCACGGAAUUCCUGGUGUAGCGGUGAAAUGCAUAGAUAUCAGGAGGAACACCGGUGGCGAAGGCGGUGAUCUGGGCCAGUACUGACGCUGAGGAGCGAAAGCGUGGGGAGCGAACAGG
rnacentral:rRNA from 1 species